GCGGGAGAAGCCACCAUCACCAACAGCUUCUCCAGGCAUCCGUUUCCAUUCGGACGGGCACCAUCUCCAGCAGCUUCUGCAGCAUCAUCCGUCGGAAGAGCACCAUCUCCAGCAGCUUCUCCACCAUCAUCCGUCGGGGGAGCACCGUCUCCAACAGCUUCUCCAAAUUCGUACAUCGGGGGAGCACCAUAUACAGCAGCUUAUCCAGCAUCGUUCAUCGGGGGAGCACCAUCUACAACAGUGUCUCCAGUAUCGUUCAGACGGUGAGCACCAUAUCCAGCAUCUUUCAUCGGAGGAGCAACGUCUCCAGCAGCUUCUCCAGCAUCGUUCAUCAGGAGCACCAUCUUCCAGCAGGUCUCUUCCAGGCAUCGUUCAUACAGAGAGAAGGGAGCACCAUCUCCAGCAGCUUCUG
rnacentral:lncRNA from 1 species